GUUGAGGUGGCAGAGCCCGGUUACUGCAAAAGACUUAAACUCUUUUCACAGAGGUUCAAUUCCUCUCCUUUACU
rnacentral:tRNA from 1 species